UGGGGAAUCUUGCGCAAUGGACGAAAGUCUGACGCAGCGACGCCGCGUGCGGGAGGAAGCUCUUCGGGGUGUAAACCGCUGUUGCCCGGAACGAAACGCCAGAUUCGUCUGGCUUGACGGUACCGGGUGAGGAAGCGCCGGCUAACUCUGUGCCAGCAGCCGCGGUAAUACAGAGGGCGCGAGCGUUGUCCGGAAUCACUGGGCGUAAAGGGCGCGUAGGUGGCCGUAUAAGGCCGCGGUGAAAGUUCGGGGCUCAACCCUGAAUCUGCCGCGGCGACUGUAUGGCUUGGGCACUGUAGAGGCAGAUGGAAUUCCGGGUGUAGCGGUGGAAUGCGUAGAGAUCCGGAAGAACACCGGUGGCGAAGGCGGUCUGCUGGGCAGUGAGCUCGCAAGAGCUCAAUAGCCGACACUGAGGCGCGACAGCGUGGGGAGCAAACAGG
rnacentral:rRNA from 1 species